UACAGAGGUCUCAAGCGUUGUUCGGAUUCAUUGGGCGUAAAGGGUGUGUAGGUGGCGCGGUAAGUCGGGUGUGAAAUCUCGGAGCUUAACUCCGAAAUUGCAUUCGAUACUGCCGUGCUUGAGGACUGGAGAGGAGACUGGAAUUCAUGGUGUAGCAGUGAAAUGCGUAGAGAUCAUGAGGAAGACCAGUGGCGAAGGCGGGUCUCUGGACAGUACCUGACACUGAGGCACGAAGGCCAGGGGAGCAAACGGG
rnacentral:rRNA from 1 species